rnacentral:rRNA from 1 species
AUUGAACGCUGGCGGCAUGCCUUACACAUGCAAGUCGAGCGGCAGCGCGGGGGCAACCCUGGCGGCGAGCGGCGAACGGGUGAGUAAUGCAUCGGAACGUGUCCUCUUGUGGGGGAUAACCAGUCGAAAGACUGGCUAAUACCGCAUGAGCUCGAGAGAGGAAAGCAGGGGACCGCAAGGCCUUGCGCGAGAGGAGCGGCCGAUGCCGGAUUAGCUAGUUGGUGGGGUAAAGGCCUACCAAGGCGACGAUCCGUAGCUGGUCUGAGAGGACGACCAGCCACACUGGGACUGAGACACGGCCAAAACUCCUACGGGAGGAAGCAGUGGGGAAUUUUGGACAAUGGGGGCAACCCUGAUCCAGCCAUGCCGCGUGUGUGAAGAAGGCCUUCGGGUUGUAAAGCACUUUCGGACGGAACGAAAUCGCGCGGGUGAACAUCCCGCGUGGAUGACGGUACCGUAAGAAGAAGCACCGGCUAACUACGUGCCAGCAGCCGCCGUAAAAC